rnacentral:rRNA from 1 species
UACGUAGGGAGCAAGCGUUGUCCGGAAUCAUUGGGCGUAAAGCGCGCGUAGGUGGCCUCGUAAGUCCGCUGUGAAAGUCAAAGGCUCAACCUUUGAAAGCCGGUGGAUACUGUGGGGCUAGAGUACGGAAGAGGCGAGUGGAAUUCCUGGUGUAGCGGUGGAAUGCGCAGAUAUCAGGAGGAACACCAAUAGCGAAGGCGACCACCUGGACUGAUACUGACACUGAGGUGCGAAAGCGUGGGGAGCAAACAGG